CAGUCGCCACGGUAAUACGAAGGGUGCAAGCGUUACUCGGAAUUACUGGGCGUAAAGCGUGCGUAGGUGGUGGUUUAAGUCCGUUGUGAAAGCCCUGGGCUCAACCUGGGAAUUGCAGUGGAUACUGGGUCACUAGAGUGUGGUAGAGGAUAGUGGAAUUUCCGGUGUAGCAGUGAAAUGCGUAGAGAUCGGAAGGAACAUCUGUGGCGAAGGCGGCCCCCUGGACGAAGACUGACGCUCAGGUGCGAAAGCGUGGGGAGCAAACAGGAUUAGAUACCCCCGUAGUCCCUGUCUCUUAUAC
rnacentral:rRNA from 1 species